AAUUAUCUUGAAGGCAGCCUACCAGUGGAAUUGUUGUCCUCCAGAAGCAUCGUCUUCCUCGAUGUCAGCUUCAACCGCCUCGAUGGUCAUCUGCAAGAGAUCCAAUCCUCAAAUCAUAGUUUUCCUAUCAAGGUGUUGAAUAUCUCAAGCAACUCCUUCACAGGACCGUUCCCGUCCAAAACAUGGAAGGCUACGAAGAGUCUGGUUGCUCUUAGUGCAAGCCACAACAGCUUUGAAGGACCCAUAUCGUCUUCUAUCUGCAUCAAUGGCCCAUCAUUUGCCAUGCUUGACCUCUCACAUAACAAAUUCAGUGGCAAUAUUUCUCCGGGGUUUGGCAGUUGCGCCAUGCUGAGAGUGCUAAAGGUUGGCCACAACAACCUUACCGGACCUCUCCCCGAUGGACUAUUCAAUGCUACCUCACUGGAGCACCUCUCUUUGGCCAACAAUGGUUUGCAGGGUGUUCUUGAUGGUUCCAGCAUAGUCAAAUUAAGCCGUCUGACUGUCCUUGAUCUUGGAAUGACUGGUCUCAGUGGCAAGAUUCCAGACUCUGUCGGCCAGCUAAGAACAUUGGAGGAACUCUACUUGGACAACAACAAUAUGUCUGGUGAGCUGCCAUCGGCACUAGGUAACUGCUCAAAUCUCAGAUACAUUACCAUCAGAAAUAACAGCUUUAUCGGGGAUCUUAGCACAGUCAAUUUCACCAUGUUGGAUCUGAGGAUAGCUGAUUUUUCGAUAAACCUCUUCACUGGUCCAAUUCCUGAAAGUAUCUACUCAUGCAGCAAUCUAGUUGCGCUGCGGCUGGCUUACAACAACUUUCAUGGCCACUUCUCACCAAGAAUAAGCAAUCUCAGGUCCCUCUCCUUCUUUUCAAUUACCAACAACUCUUUUAAAAAUAUCACAAAUGCACUUCAGAUGCUCAAGAGCUGCAAGAACCUCACCUCCCUGCUUAUUGGAACUAACUUCAAGGGUGAAACCAUACCACAGGAUGAAACAAUUGAUGGUUUUGAGAAUCUUCAGGUACUGACCAUAGAUGAUUGCUCAUUGGUUGGGAAAAUUCCUCUUUGGAUAUCAAAGCUUGAAAAAUUGAAAAUGAUAGAUUUAUCAGUAAACCAACUCAGUGGACCAAUACCAUCCUGGAUUGAUGAACUGGGCUUCCUAUUCUACCUAGACAUAUCAAGCAACAACCUUACAGGGAAUAUAGAAAUUGCAUUGACAAAGUUGCCGAUGCUGCUAUCAGGGGAAAAUGUUGCGAAGUUGGGCCCGAAGUUCCUUGAGUUGCCUGUAUUUUGGACACCAUCACGUCAAUACCAGAUGGUCAGUGCUUUUCCUAGAAUAUUGUUUCUAGACAACAAUAAUUUCACUGGUAUAAUUCCCCCUGAGAUUGGUCAGCUAAAAUUGCUCAACGGCCUCAAUUUAAGCUCCAAUAGCUUAACUGGUGAAAUACCACAAGAAAUCCGCAACCUCACAAACCUGCAAAUGCUUGAUCUGUCGGACAACCAGCUCACAGGUGCAAUACCAUCUGCACUGAAUGAUUUGCACUUCCUUCCUACAUUUGAUGUUUCCAG
rnacentral:lncRNA from 1 species